GGGAGCUGAGCUUGCUUUGAAAGUUCCCUAAGAAAAUAGGGAAAGACAGAGCCGUUCACAAAGCAAAUUAGGGGAGGGGGGAGUUACUAUUUUUAACCUAUAAUUCCUUUUGAAAUUGUCUAAAGAAGCAAUUGUCUAAAGAACUGUCUGAAAGAAUUUCAGUAAUGCACAGGAGAAAGGGCACAAGAUGUUGCCUUCUUUCCUGGGGCAUUGUGGGCCAGUUGUUGGGAAGAAAGGUGCUGUUUCGAAACACCAUUGCUUACUGCAGUUGGCAGGAUUGAAGAUUUCUUAUAGGAAGAAAGGGAGGCUGAUGAUCAUCUGUCAGCACUCCUGGAGGAUCCCUUGGACCUGGAGAAUAACCUCUGCCAUCAAAGACCCACGCCCAGAGGCUGCAAUUGGCAGAAGAUUGGCAUGGCCCUGCCAGCCACACGCAAGAUGAAUGCUAGUCUCCAGCUGCCCGAGUCGGAUCUUCGUGAGGACAGGUGAUAUAGCCUCUUGCUCGGCUUCUUCAGGACAGAAUCUGUCCUUCUCUAAAUUCUGAAACAUUACACACCCACCCACCCCUGAUCUUAAAGUUGUUCUCUGUAGCCUCCCUGGAAAUUAUUUACACAUAAUUUGGAAUUUUAAGCUAAAUGUACCUUUUAUGCUAGGACUACCUAGUAACCUAGUUUUAUUGCUUCUAUUUGUUUUUCUUACAGUAAACACCUCUUGUUAAUUAAAACCUCUCUCUCUAGCUGAUU